AAAGUCGUAACAAGGUUUCCGUAGGUGAACCUGCGGAAGGAUCAUUAUUGAAAGCUUCGGCUUCCAUUUGAUGCUUUAACCCUUUUGAUGUCCGUUACCUCAGUUGCUUCCACAGGUCCUUUUUUCCUUUUUCCUUUUUUUGGAAGGGGGAGGGGGGGAGGGAUCUGUGGUUGGCCCACAACAAAAAACCUUUUGUAAUUAGCUACGUUUUGUCUGAAUAAACAUAAAAUGUUUUAAAACUUUCAACAACGGAUCUCUUGGCUCCU
rnacentral:misc_RNA from 1 species